CCUACGGGUGGCAGCAGUGGGGAAUAUUGGGCAAUGGGCGCAAGCCUGACCCAGCAACGCCGCGUGAAGGAAGAAGGCCUUCUGGUUGUAAACCUCUUUUCUCAGGGACGCAGCACGCGACGGUACCUGAGCAAUACGCCUCGGCGAACUACGUGCCAGCCGCCGCUGGAAUCCGGGGGCGGCAAUCGUCAUGCGGAUGUACGGGGUGUAAAGGUUGUGUAGGCGGGAAAGCAAAUCAGGAGUGAAAACCAUGGGCUCAACCUGUGGCGUGCAUGUGAAACUGGCUUUCUUUGGUACUGGAGAGGCAGGCGGAAUGCGUGGUGUAGCGGUGAAAUGCGUAGAUAUCAGGAGGAACACCGGUGGCGAAGGCGGUCUGCUGGAGAGCAACUGACGCUGAGGCGCGAAAGCGUGGGGAGCGAACAGGAUUAGAUACCCUGGUAGUC
rnacentral:rRNA from 1 species